CGAGGGGCGCCCCGUGGAGGAAGGUCCUGUGCGUGGCUGUGGGGAUGCUCAGGAGAAGACUGCUUCAAAUACCCUUUGGCCACAGCCAGCUCGGAGCACUCGAUAUCCAGCACAAUGUUGGCGCUGCCCGGGCCCUGUGGGGAUCCUGCACAGCCCGGGAAGGGCACCCGCUUGGCAGGGUCCUGCCUGGGCUCCACCAUGCCCUUGGACUGCUGCAGGUACCCGCGGAACUCCGCGGCUUGCUGGCCGUCCUGGCUGGCAGCAGCGGGGAGGCCGAGCUCCCCUCCACAGGGCUGCCCGGCCGCCAUGGGGCUGGUGGUCCAGCUGCCGGAGGAGCCCGUGGGGCCAGGGCAGGCGUUCUCCAAGCCCACGCCGCUGUCGUCGCCAGUGGGGAGCUGCCGCUUGUAGCCCUGGGGCUGGGGGCCGGAGGAGCAGCUCAGGUCGGAGGAGGAGGUGUGCAGGCAGAUGCCGCUGUCGGUGCUGGUGCAGCUGCUGUCCCUGCUCCACACAGCCCCAGGCCCCAGCAGGCACAGCUGGUCCUCGGGCCACGCUGGGACCCUCCAGCCCUUCUCCGGGGGCAGCUGGGCUGUGCCGGUGCUGCCAUGCGGGCCACUGUCCCGCUGGGGCUCCUUCUGGCACAGGAACAGUUGCUGGAUGGGGUCUGUGUCCGGGCUGCCCGAGGACGAGGACUCCUGCUCCAUCCAGAGCGAGCUCUGCUUUAUGAAAGACUUCUGGGAGGGAGAGAAAAGAGGGGAGUGAGCCAUGCUCUGUCCCUGCUCAUUGCCUGCCUCUCCCAACAGGUGCCCAAGCCUGCACCCUCGCAUGGGCCGCAAAGGGCACCGCGUGCCUGGCGGCCUUACCAGGACGGAUGGCGGCCUCACGGGUUUCUUGACGUAGGUGCACACCAGCAUUGCUCCCAGGAGGCCCAAGAGCAACAGGGUGACGAAGGAGGAGCUGACGAUGCUCAGGACAAGCUCCGCGCUCCCUGCGAGAGAGGAACAUUCCCAGGUGAGAGGGGAAAGGCAGAGUCCCCAGUGCACAUGGCACAGAGGCCCUGCAG
rnacentral:lncRNA from 1 species